rnacentral:rRNA from 1 species
UUUACGGAGAGUUUGAUCCUGGCUCAGGAUGAACGCUGGCGGCGUGCUUAACACAUGCAAGUCGAACGGUGAAGCCCAGCUUGCUGGGUGGAUCAGUGGCGAACGGGUGAGUAACACGUGAGCAACCUGCCCCUGACUCUGGGAUAAGCGCUGGAAACGGCGUCUAAUACUGGAUAUGUGACGUGACCGCAUGGUCUGCGUUUGGAAAGAUUUUUCGGUUGGGGAUGGGCUCGCGGCCUAUCAGCUUGUUGGUGAGGUAAUGGCUCACCAAGGCGUCGACGGGUAGCCGGCCUGAGAGGGUGACCGGCCACACUGGGACUGAGACACGGCCCAGACUCCUACGGGAGGCAGCAGUGGGGAAUAUUGCACAAUGGGCGCAAGCCUGAUGCAGCAACGCCGCGUGAGGGAUGACGGCCUUCGGGUUGUAAACCUCUUUUAGCAGGGAAGAAGCGAAAGUGACGGUACCUGCAGAAAAAGCGCCGGCUAACUACGUGCCAGCAGCCGCGGUAAUACGUAGGGCGCAAGCGUUAUCCGGAAUUAUUGGGCGUAAAGAGCUCGUAGGCGGUUUGUCGCGUCUGCUGUGAAAUCCCGAGGCUCAACCUCGGGCCUGCAGUGGGUACGGGCAGACUAGAGUGCGGUAGGGGAGAUUGGAAUUCCUGGUGUAGCGGUGGAAUGCGCAGAUAUCAGGAGGAACACCGAUGGCGAAGGCAGAUCUCUGGGCCGUAACUGACGCUGAGGAGCGAAAGGGUGGGGAGCAAACAGGCUUAGAUACCCUGGUAGUCCACCCCGUAAACGUUGGGAACUAGUUGUGGGGUCCAUUCCACGGAUUCCGUGACGCAGCUAACGCAUUAAGUUCCCCGCCUGGGGAGUACGGCCGCAAGGCUAAAACUCAAAGGAAUUGACGGGGACCCGCACAAGCGGCGGAGCAUGCGGAUUAAUUCGAUGCAACGCGAAGAACCUUACCAAGGCUUGACAUAUACGAGAACGGGCCAGAAAUGGUCAACUCUUUGGACACUCGUAAACAGGUGGUGCAUGGUUGUCGUCAGCUCGUGUCGUGAGAUGUUGGGUUAAGUCCCGCAACGAGCGCAACCCUCGUUCUAUGUUGCCAGCACGUAAUGGUGGGAACUCAUGGGAUACUGCCGGGGUCAACUCGGAGGAAGGUGGGGAUGACGUCAAAUCAUCAUGCCCCUUAUGUCUUGGGCUUCACGCAUGCUACAAUGGCCGGUACAAAGGGCUGCAAUACCGCGAGGUGGAGCGAAUCCCAAAAAGCCGGUCCCAGUUCGGAUUGAGGUCUGCAACUCGACCUCAUGAAGUCGGAGUCGCUAGUAAUCGCAGAUCAGCAACGCUGCGGUGAAUACGUUCCCGGGUCUUGUACACACCGCCCGUCAAGUCAUGAAAGUCGGUAACACCUGAAGCCGGUGGCCUAACCCUUGUGGAGGGAGCCGUCGAAGGUGGGAUCGGUAAUUAGGACUAAGUCGUAACAAGGUAGCCGUACCGGAAGGUGCGGCUGGAUCACCUCCUUUCUA